UACAGAGGUCUCAAGCGUUGUUCGGAUUCAUUGGGCGUAAAGGGUGCGUAGGCGGCGCGGUAAGUCGGGUGUGAAAUCUUGGAGCUUAACUCCGAAACUGCAUUCGAUACUGCCGUGCUUGAGGACUGGAGAGGAGACUGGAAUUUACGGUGUAGCGGUGAAAUGCGUAGAUAUCGUAAGGAAGACCAGUGGCGAAGGCGGGUCUCUGGACAGUUCCUGACGCUGAUGCGCGAAAGCGUGGGGAGCGAUCCGG
rnacentral:rRNA from 1 species